rnacentral:tRNA from 1 species
ACCAUUAGCUCAGCUGGAUAGAGCGCUGCCCUCCGAAGGCAGAGGCCAGAGGUUCGAAUCCUCUAUGGU